rnacentral:rRNA from 1 species
UACGGAGGGUGCAAGCGUUAUCCGGAUUCACUGGGUUUAAAGGGUGCGUAGGUGGGUCUGUAAGUCCGUGGUGAAAUCUCUAGGCUUAACCUGGAAACUGCCAUGGAUACUAUAGGUCUUGAAUACUGUGGAGGUCAGCGGAAUAUGUCAUGUAGCGGUGAAAUGCUUAGAUAUGACAUAGAACACCAAUUGCGCAGGCAGCUUACUACACAGUAAUUGACACUGAGGCACGAAAGCGUGGGGAUCAAACAGG